ACCUGGGUGGCUCAGUCAGUAGAGCGUGUGACUUUUGAUCUCUAGGUUGUGGGUUCGAGCCCCAUGUUGGGUG
rfam:Felis catus isolate Cinnamon breed Abyssinian chromosome F1, whole genome shotgun sequence.